ACAAAGUAAUCUUUAUUUGCAGAAAAUAAGGAGAUCACAAAGAAUAAUAUCCAAAGCCAUGACCUCCGGAGCAGGGCUAGAGAUAGAACUGGAGCUUUGAGUGGCGAGAAUUCACCAGUAAAGUCAUAUGGGCCUGGAAUUUUCCUCAUGGAGCUGAACGACCAAGAAUAUGAGAAGUAAAUGAGAUGCAAGAACUGUUUCUUUGAGUGGAGAUAAUAGUGUAAAAACCCAUCUUUAACUUACACAAGAAGCAACGAAUAAAAACAUCAAUUAUGAAUGUGA